rnacentral:lncRNA from 1 species
UGUCAGAUUUCGUAUAUAUAUAGUCUCCUUUCUUAGAGCAAUUGUUUUUUUUCGGAGAGAUAGGUAGCACGCUACCCGCUUCGUUUAUUUCAUUUAGAAAUAAACUUAGCUGGAAAUGUGAAUCAACUAGGAUUCGAACUUGAGUCUCGGGUACCAACCACCAAGCUCUUUGUCACUUGCUCUAGAAACGGUCGGUUCUUAGAGCAAUUGUUGUCUCUUUUUUUUAUGCCUC